AUGAUCUGCAAUGCACAUCUUGGUGACAGCAAGAGGUGCCUGGGAUCACUGCCCGCGUCCUCUCAACUGCUGCUGCUGAAGGUGCUUGAUCUAGAAGGCUGCAAAGGCUUGGAGAAGCGCCAUCUGAACAACAUCUGCAAGUUGUUCAUGCUCAAGUACUUGAGCCUCAGGAACACUGAUGUUUCUGUGCUGCCCAGGCAAAUCCAUAGGCUGCAGCAGCUAGAGACGCUGGACAUUCGGCAAACCAAGAUACAAGCCUUCCCCACAGAUUUUGCCAAGCUCCUGAUGCUCAAGCAUCUGCUCGCAGGCCAUGCAGACUUCUCCCCGGUCAAGGACACCAUCAACUCCAAGGAAUCAUUUUCCACGCCGCGGAUGCCCCAUGGAAUCGGGGCCAUGAGGGGGAACCUGGAGAUACUGUCACACGUACAGGUCUCCGGGAGUGGCAGUGAGUCGAUGCUCAUGGAUGUUGGGCAGCUAGUCAAGGUACGGAAGCUAGGAGUUGUUCUCCAUGGCAAGAAGGUUGCCAGCUCCUUCAAGCAUCUCCUCCAAGCAAUCAGCAAGCUGCACAAAUGCCUUCGUUCUUUGUCAAUCCGAAUUGGACAUCCUGUCGAUGAGACCGAUCCUCUUACAUUCCGCAUGGAUCAAGAGAAUCCAUUUUCACCUCCCGAGUUUCUCCAGAGCCUGUACAUCGGCGGCCUCACAGGCGUUGGGCUGCCUCCAUGGAUCACAGAGCUCCACCAAUUUGCCAAGAUUACCUUGCGCGACACCUCCCUCAAGGAUCAUGCCAUACGACUCCUUGGCAAACUCGGUGGCUUGCGCUGCCUUAGGCUCCGACAGAUGUCCUACGGCGAAAUGAAGAUCACUUUUGGGAAAGAAGAAUUCCCAAGCCUCAAGUUUCUCGCCAUUGAGUGUUCCGACAUCACCAACAUAAUCUUCGAGAGUGGAACGGCACCUAGGCUUGAGAAGCUAGCUUGGGCUUUCAAGAGCAUGCAGUUCAUCUCCGGAAUCGGCAAUCUCCCAAGGCUGAAAGAGCUCGAGCUCAGCGGCAGCUGCAACCCAGACCCCGUGAAGCAGGCCGUCGCAGCACACCUGAAUCAUCCCGUCUUCAAGCACAAUGCCUGA
rnacentral:rRNA from 1 species